rnacentral:rRNA from 1 species
UACGAAGGGGGCUAGCGUUGUUCGGAAUUACUGGGCGUAAAGCGCACGUAGGCGGAUACUUAGGUCAGGGGUGAAAUCCCGGGGCUCAACCCCGGAACUGCCUUUGAUACUGGGUAUCUCGAGUCCGGAAGAGGUGAGUGGAAUUCCGAGUGUAGAGGUGAAAUUCGUAGAUAUUCGGAGGAACACCAGUGGCGAAGGCGGCUCACUGGUCCGGUACUGACGCUGAGGUGCGAAAGCGUGGGGAGCAAACAGG